CCUACGGGAGGCAGCAGUGGGGAAUAUUGCGCAAUGGGGGAAACCCUGACGCAGCAACGCCGCGUGGGUGAAGAAGGCCUUCGGGUUGUAAAGCUCUGUCUUCUGGGACGAUAAUGACGGUACCAGAGGAGGAAGCCACGGCUAACUACGUGCCAGCAGCCGCGGUAA
rnacentral:rRNA from 1 species